rnacentral:rRNA from 1 species
GGGUUUGAUUAGGGCUCAGAAUGAACGUUGGCGGCGUGGAUUAGGCAUGCAAGUCGAGCGAGAAGUUUACUUCGGUAAAUGGACAGCGGCGAAAGGGACAGUAAUGUGUAGGUACCUACCCUCUGAUCUGGGAUAGCUGCGGGAAACUGCAGGUAAUACCGGAUAAUGUCUUCGGACCAAAGGUGUGAUUCCGUCUGAGGAGGGGCCUGCAUCCUAUUAGCUUGUUGGUGAGGUAAUGGCUCACCAAGGCAACGAUGGGUAGCGGGUGUGAGAGCAUGACCCGCGUCAUUGGGACUGAGACACUGCCCAGACAUCUACGGAUGGCUGCAGUCGAGAAUCUUCGGCAAUGGGCGAAAGCCUGACCGAGCGACGCCGCGUGCGGGAUGAAGGCCCUCGGGUUGUAAACCGCUGUCGUUGGGGAGGAAAUGCAAGAGGGCUAUCCCUUUUGUUUGACCGAUCCAAGGAGGAAGUACGGGCUAAGUUCGUGC